rnacentral:rRNA from 1 species
CCUACGGGAGGCAGCAGUGGGGAAUUUUGCACAAUGGGGGAAACCCUGAUGCAGCGACGCCGCGUGAUUUAGAAGGCCUUCGGGUUGUAAAAAUCUUUUUUAUGGGAUGAAAAUGACAGUACCAUAAGAAUAAGGUCCGGCUAAAUACGUGCCAGCAGCCGCGGUAAUACGUAUGGACCGAGCGUUGUCCGGAAUCAUUGGGCGUAAAGGGUACGUAGGCGGCCUAGUAAGUUAGAAGUGAAAUAAUAUAGCUCAACUAUAUAAAGCUUUUAAAACUGUUAGGCUUGAGAGAUGAAAGGGAAAGUGGAAUUCCUAGUGUAGCGGUGAAAUGCGCAGAUAUUAGGAAGAAUACCGGUGGCGAAGGCGACUUUCUGGUCAUCAUCUGACGCUGAGGUACGAAAGCGUGGGUAGCAAACAGGAUUAGAUACCCUGGUAGUCCACGCUGUAAACGAUGAGUGUUAGGUUCUUGGAAUAAUCUGGGAGCCGCAGCUAACGCAUUAAACACUCCGCCUGGGGAGUACGCACGCAAGUGUGAAACUCAAAGGAAUUGACGGGGACCCGCACAAGCAGCGGAGCAUGUGGUUUAAUUCGACGCAACGCGAAGAACCUUACCAAGUCUUGACAUAAUACGGAGGGAGUUAGAGAUAAUUCCUUAUCACUUCGGUGAGCUGUAUUACAGGUGGUGCAUGGUUGUCGUCAGCUCGUGUCGUGAGAUGUUGGGUUAAGUCCCAUAACGAGCGCAACCCCUAUCGUUAGUUACCAUCAUUAAGUUGGGGACUCUAGCGAUACUGCCGGUGAUAAACCGGAGGAAGGUGGGGACGACGUCAAAUCAUCAUGCCCUUUAUGACUUGGGCUACACACGUGCUACAAUGGCAGAUACAGAGGGCAGCGAAAGAGCGAUCUGAAGCGAAACUCACAAAGUCUGUCCCAGUUCGGAUUGUACUCUGCAACUCGAGUACAUGAAGUUGGAGUUGCUAGUAAUCGCGAAUCAGAAUGUCGCGGUGAAUGCGUUCCCGGGUCUUGUACACACCGCCCGUCACACCAUGGGAGUUGGCAAUACCCGAAGCCUGUGAGCGAACCAAUUGGACGCAGCAGUCGAAGGUAGGGUCAGUAACUGGGGUGAAGUCGUAACAAGGUAGCCGUAUCGGAAGGUGCGGCUGGAUCACCUCCUUU